rnacentral:tRNA from 1 species
ACCAUCUUUAAGCGCAUUCGAUGAGUGCUUUUAAAAAUGGUUACUUCAUUAGAAGUGAUUAGCUCUUUAACAAUUUGGAAAGCUGACAAAACAACAAUUUAUUGUUGUUUGUAAAGUUCUCAAUGUUUGUCUUUAAGACAAACACCAAAAUAACACAUUCAAGUGUUCUUGGAAUUUGAGUCCGGCAAAAUCGAGUCUGCAUCAUGUAUAAAAAUWGCAGACAACUUUG